rnacentral:rRNA from 1 species
GGGGAAUUUUGCGCAAUGGGGGAAACCCUGACGCAGCAACGCCGCGUGAGUGAUGAAGGCCUUCGGGUCGUAAAGCUCUGUCAGAGGGGAAGAAAUGCAGGGGUGCUAAUAUCAUCUUUGCUUGACGGUACCCUCAAAGGAAGCACCGGCUAACUCCGUGCCAGCAGCCGCGGUAAUACGGAGGGUGCGAGCGUUGUUCGGAAUUAUUGGGCGUAAAGCGCGUGUAGGCGGUUUGGUAAGUCUGAUGUGAAAGCCCCGGGCUCAACCUGGGAAGUGCAUUGGAAACUGUCAGACUUGAAUACGGGAAAGGGUAGUGGAAUUCCUAGUGUAGGAGUGAAAUCCGUAGAUAUUAGGAGGAACACCGGUGGCGAAGGCGGCUACCUGGACCGAUAUUGACGCUGAGACGCGAAAGCGUGGGGAGCAAACAG